rnacentral:lncRNA from 1 species
UUCGACGCAUUGCCCAUGGAGAUGGUGAUCUCAUCACUUUCCAGCUGCCUUGUCGGCUUGAAGCCCUGCAAGGUGUAACAAACAUGAUCAGUUGCCCCCGUAUCCACUACCCAUGAAUGAGUAGAAACGAAGCUAAACAUGUCUCAGUUACUAGAACUUGUGACGUACCUUGUCCCUUUGCCUUGAGCAUCGGACAAUCUUUCUUCCAAUGCCCAGUCUUCCCGCACUUGAAGCACUUUCCCUUUCCCGUUGGCUUCUUCACGCCGCCGGUAGGGCCGUCCACUUUGGCUUUGCCACUCCCACUAGCUUCAUUGUCAUUCUUGCCCUUUGGAC